CCAAGAAGGAGUGCGAAUUCCAUUGCACUCAGCUGUUUGGUGUAAGAAAGAUAUGAUCCCAAGAUGGAAAAAGCCAAAUGAAGAAGAGGGGGAAAACAACAGAAAAGGCCAAACCUCAUUAAGACCAACUGAAGCCCUGAAACAUGAGAUUUAGGAAGAUAAGACAUAGGACCAGAAGGGACCCCUGGGCCAGAGACCCCAGCUCCCCCAUCACCACAGAUCUGACUUCAGAAUUGGAGUUUAUGGGGGAAAUGGGGUUGGACUGAAACAGUGACAACAACAAAAGCUCCAUCUAUCUAAACUAACUUCUCUUCUCCCGAAAAAAGUCAUUAUCUCCAUCUAAGAGACAGACCAACAUGGCCGUUUUAACUCCAAAAGACUUUCUUCAGCUAAAGAGAAUGUGAACAAGGGAUGUUCUAAAAUGAAAGCCUUACUUAAUACUUCACAUUUCAAAUCAUUUAACUGAUUUUAUCCCCUGUAUGUUUAACAAAAGGUUUAAAAGAUUUUAAUGAUGUGUUUACCAUGAUACUAAGCAGGCUAGAUCUCUGUAUACUGAACCAGAGUUUAAUGUUUAAAUGUUUAAAUUUUUAAUGUUUAAAUGUUGGACGGUGACUGGGUUAUUUUAACAUCUUUAACUCUUUGUGUCCAUAUAUUCCAUGUAAAUUAAUACAAUGGAACCCUUCACCUCUCUGUAUCAGUUUUGAUUUAAAGCUACCUCAGUAGUGACCAAAAAGUUGUUCCUAUCUGAUGAUAUCCAGUGGCCUGCAUGAAAAAAAUUAGCUGCAUAAAAGUGCACACAACACUACUUGCACCAUUAGGAACCUGGUCAUUUUCAGUUGAGAGGUCAAAUAUUGCAAGAGCAUUGAUUGAACUAUCCUCUCAUACCUGAAGUUAGCCACUCUGUCAGGGCUGAGACAACUAGGGGGUUAGCCUAUGAAUUCUUUCACCACUGCUGUCAUUGUUGUACUUGAUCUGUAGAUAAAUAGAGAAUUUCAGUCUCCAGGGAUGUCAAUCAAGCUUUCUUUUUAAAGCAGUCUUUGUGAUUCCAAGUAGCACAUGCUAAUCUAAUAUAACACAAUCAUGGAGAAAUGAUGCCUCGCUCCUUUGCUGGACCAUUGACACACUGAUUUCUUUUACUCUGCUGACCUCUUCUGAAAUGUGGCUGCAUUUGUUUGGUGUGAUAUCUGCACCCGUUACUGUACUAAUUGAAAGACUAGAUGUGAUUCAUUUCCCCAAAGACUUAUUGUAGUCAGUGAGUAGGAAUGAACUUUAGUUGUUUCUGACUGGCCACAUUUCAAAACCAUGUCUCAGAUGUACAGGUUUUGUGUUUUCCAUAUGCCACUCGUCCUUUUUAAGCUGACAUUUUCAUUUAGUUAUCACCGAGAAGUUACGGCAGGCCAAGAAAUCUCUCUAGUUUGGAGUCAGCUGCACUUGCACACUGACACAGCUCUCCCCUGAUGAUCACGUCUGAGGGUGAAUGUCUGUUUACUCACAGGGCAGAUCUCUACAACAAAGGAAUUCAUAGAGUUUAUAACAAAUGUAAAAAAAAAAAAACCCUCAUGUCGGGGGCAUAUUAACUGGUUUGGAUUAGAUGGCCUAUAUCCCCUACAGACCUUUACA